UUAGAUCAGAAGCGAGAAUGUUGACAUGAGUAGCGAUAAAGAGGGUGAGAGACCCUCUCGCCGUAAGUCCAAGGGUUCCUGCUUAAAGCUAAUCUGAGCAGGGUAAGCCGGCCCCUAAGGCGAGGCCGAAAGGCGUAGUCGAUGGGAACCACGUUAAUAUUCGUGGGCCAGGAGGAAGUGACGGAUCUCAAAGAUUGUCUGCCCUUAUCGGAUUGGGUGGGCCGUUCAGAGGUCCCAGGAAAUAGCCCUCCAUCAGACCGUACCCUAAACCGACACAGGUGGACUGGUAGAGUAUACCAAGGCGCUUGAGAGAACCGCAUUUAAGGAACUCGGCAAAAUGCCUCCGUAAGUUCGCGAGAAGGAGGCCCUGUCUGUACGCAAGUAUGGGCAGGGGGCACAAACUAGGGGGUGGCGACUGUUUACUUAAAACACAGGGCUGUGCGAAGCCGUAAGGCGACGUAUACAGUCUGACGCCUGCCCGGUGCUGGAAGGUUAAAAGGAGGGGUGCAAGCUCUGAAUUGAAGCCCCAGUAAACGGCGGCCGUAACGAUAACGGUCCUAAGGUAGCGAAAUUCCUUGUCGGGUAAGUUCCGACCUGCACGAAUGGCGUAACGAUCUCCCCGCUGUCUCAAAUGCGGACUCAGCGAAAUCGAACUGUGUGUCAAGAUGCACACUACCCGCGGUUAGACGGAAAGACCCCAUGCACCUUUACUCCAGCUUUGCACUGGUAUCAGGAUUGUGAUGUGCAGGAUAGGUGGUAGGCAUCGAAGCGGGGACGCUAGUUCUCGUGGAGCCUCCCUUGAGAUACCACCCUUCGCACUCCUGAUAUCUAACCGCGGUCCGUUAUCCGGAUCCGGGACCCUGCAUGGUGGGGAGUUUGACUGGGGCGGUCGCCUCCCAAACAGUAACGGAGGCGCGCGAAGGUAGGCUCAGACCGGUCGGAAAUCGGUCGUUGAGUGCAAUGGCAGAAGCCUGCCUGACUGCAAGACUGACAAGUCGAGCAGAGACGAAAGUCGGUCAUAGUGAUCCGGUGGUCCCAAGUGGGAGGGCCAUCGCUCAACGGAUAAAAGGUACGCUGGGGAUAACAGGCUUAUGAUGCCCAAGAGUCCAUAUCGACGGCAUCGUUUGGCACCUCGAUGUCGGCUCAUCUCAUCCUGGGGCUGGAGCAGGUCCCAAGGGUAUGGCUGUUCGCCAUUUAAAGAGGUACGUGAGCUGGGUUUAGAACGUCGUGAGACAGUUCGGUCCCUAUCUGCCGUGGGUGUAGGAGACUUGAGAAGAGUUGCCCCUAGUACGAGAGGACCGGGGUGAACGAACCACUGGUGGACCAGUUAUCGUGCCAACGGUAGUGCUGGGUAGCUAUGUUCGGACAGGAUAACCGCUGAAGGCAUCUAAGCGGGAAGCCCCCUUCAAAACAAGGUCUCCCUUGAGAGCCGUGGAAGACCACCACGUCGAUAGGCCAGAGGUGUAAGAGCAGUAAUGCUUUCAGCUGACUGGUACUAAUUGCUC
rnacentral:rRNA from 1 species